CCCCGGAACUCGGGGUCGCCGGGAAGGGUCCUGUGGGAGAGGGGCAGGAGUCAGAAGAUGAGGGGUCUCCUAUCACCCACUGCCUGGUCGCUGCCCCCUCUCACCAGGCUCUGCAGGCACGACUUCUCUGGCUCCGAGGCCUUCCCCGCAGCCUUCUCUGCUUCCUUCAGGUCGGUCAGAGUCACACCCUGUGUGGACCUCCGGGACUGGCGCAUGAGGCGAGAGCGAGCUUUCCUCUGGGAUUCGGACUCCUCGUCCCGCACUGGCAUCUGGUAUAUCCUGAGUGAAGGACCCCCGGCCUCAGGGAGGUCCCUCUGGACCCUGUCCUGCCCCAAGGCUGACUCCCUCAGGGGGCAGCCUGGUGGGGGGCACUGUUCCAGGGACCAGCUGGCUCGGGGCAGCGCUGCUCAACCGGGACUACGCAGCCCCCCGCGGGCGGGCCGUGUCUGCAGACAUCUCUGGGUGUCUCAGCUUAGAGGUGGGCGCCGGGAGCAUCCGCGGGUUGGGUGGGUUAAUCGUCCCACACCGCGGGGCACGGUGCCACAACAAAAAGCCAUCUGGUCCAGGGCCGCCAGUGCCGGGACAGAAGCCCUGGCUUCGAUUAGACUCUUCCUGGAGACCGUCUCCGCCUGAGCGCCCUCAGCCUGGCUGGAGGUCCCGGCAGCUCCGCAGGCUCAGCUCAGGCAGACACGCCUGCGUUCAGAGACUGGAUUUAGGCCCUGGUCGGGGAAAGGGCGAGAGAGCCAGGUGGGACAGACAGAGAGAUGGGGUGUCUUGUAAACCAAAGCCCCUCUGGACAGCCCCUGAGCUCAGAUCCCCCGCAUGCUGGGCACCCCCCGUCCCCCCCGGCAGUCAGGCAGUCACGACCUCCUCCCAGAUGUCACAGAGGGACCCGCCACCACACUCCCCUUCUCCCGCUGCCCUGUGCUAUCCCUUUAGGCUAGUGAUGCUCAACUGGGGACAAUGCUGACCCCCAGGGGACACGGGGCAACUCCCAGGGACGUGCCCAGUUGUCGUGACGGUGGUGGGCAGGGGUGGGGGGGCAAGGAUGAUGCUCACAGUCCCCCAGGGUUAUCCUGCCGCACGUCCCCGUGUGGAGCUGAGGACCCUCCCUAAACAUGUGAUGUGACCUGCUUCCUUGUCACUUGUCUGUCUGUCUCCUCCACGAGCUGUGAACUGCCCGGUCACGUGUGCCACCGUAUCCCCAGCCCCUAAAAGGCCUGGCACACAGCAGGUGCUCAGCGGUGUCACAUGAACAGCACCAAAUAAAGGCACCCUCCUCUCUGCCA
rnacentral:lncRNA from 1 species